UACAGAGGGUGCUAGCGUUGUUCGGAAUCAUUGGGCGUAAAGGGCGUGUAGGCGGUUUGUUAAGUCAUGUGUGAAAUCCCUCGGCUCAACCGGGGAACGACGCAUGAAACUGGCAAGCUAGAGUACCAAAGAGGGGGGUGGAAUUCCCGGUGUAGCGGUGGAAAUGCGUAGAUAUCGUAAGGAAGACCAGUGGCGAAGGCGGGUCUCUGGACAGUUCCUGACGCUGAGGCACGAAGGCCAGGGGAGCAAACGGG
rnacentral:rRNA from 1 species